GGUAGCAUAAUCAUUAGUCUCCUAAUUAGAGGCUUGUAUGAAUGGUCGGACAAGAUAGGAACUGUCUCAAUAUAAAAAAUAAAAUUUAAUAUUUAAGUAAAAAAGCUUAAAUAAUUUAGAGGGACGAUAAGACCCUAUAAAGCUUUAUGGUAAUAUUUUUGUAUAUAAAAUAUUUCAUGUAACUUAUUAAAAAAUAAACACCAUUUUACUGGGGCGGUAAAAGUAUAUUUUUGAUUAACUGCUUUUGUUGUUGAAAACAGUUGUAGCUGAAUAAUAAAUUGAUCCAUUAUUAAUGAUCACAAGUACAAGUUACUUUAGGGAUAACAGCGUAAUUUUUCUUGAGAGUCCUUAUCGAAAGAAAAGUUUGCGACCUCGAUGUUGAAUUAAGGAAGCCUUAAGGUGCAGCAGUUUUAAAUAGGCAGAUCUGUUCGAUCUUUAAAUCUUUACAUGAUUUG
rnacentral:rRNA from 1 species